rnacentral:lncRNA from 1 species
AUCUUCCGGAUCGAUCUACGUAGGGACGUAUUUUAUAUAAGUUAUAUAUUCUAUCGAUAUGAAUUCUGAGGUUGGAUUUGAUUACUGUUCUAGGCGGCGAUCGUCAUGACGCCUUAAUGUGUGGUGCUAGGGAGUUGUUGGACGAACUCCAGGUGAGUGGGCAGUUUUGUUUUCCGUAUAUAUAUAUACUUGACGUUUCCCAGAAAUUGAAUUGAAAUGAAAAUAUGUUUAAAAUAAAAUGCAUAUGAAUUAUGUGGAAAAACGGGAAGUGAAAUACCAUGCAUAGAAUUGAUAUGAAAAGUAUAUAGAAAUGUGAGUUGAAAUGCCAUGCAUGAAUUAAUAUAUGAUGCAUAUGUAUGAAUUGGUGCGGUGGACGCACAGGUAAGAAUUAAUAUAUGAUGCAUAUGUAUGAAUUGGUGCGGUGGACGCACAGGUAAGAAUUGAUUUAUGAUGCAUAUGUAUGAAAUGGUGCGGUGGACGCACAGGUGAGUAUUUAGUAUUUUAUUUCUGUUAUGAUGAUGUUGAUGUAUAUUGAGCUCAAAUCCUGCACCAUAGUUUAGUGCUUAUAGUAUUCACCGCAUCGCACGCUCGUCUUGGAUCCAAGUAGAUGCUAGUCGUACAGUCCACGCGGAGUGGGUACGACAGGCCAGUCGCGAGAGUGUUAGUGAGAUUCCGACUGGUGGGUGACCUUAGAUUAUGUGCACAGAUGAUUUAUGAGAAGCACUAGAGCGUAACUUAUGUGCAGAAGGCCGUACAGGUCACGCGGAGUGACUCCGGCAGAGUGUGAGAGUGAUAGAUUUUGAGCUCUAGGCUCAACCGGGCUAAUAGAGGGCUUCCGGUUGAUUACUUUAUUGCACCUGAUAUGAUUUAUGUUGAUGCAUUCAUACCUUAUUACUGUUGAGAUGAUGUGGCAUGGCAUAAUUAUGAUGAAAAUGUUGAGUUAAUGACUUGAAGUCUUGAGAAUAUAUAUGUAUAUUUAUAUUUUACAUUUCUGGGAAAGUAUACGGGUUUUACGGAGAGGGGUUACAACGUUUUGAGAAAUGUUUGGAUUUGGAAAAGAAUGGUUUUACUAACCCACUCAAUUUUGGUUUUGCGCCCCUCCAGGUUCAGGAAUCACAAAGGUGUGGUGACUACGAGGAAAUUGACGGUGUUCUGACAGAUUGGACAAAAUUAGGACUCACCUUCGGGUGUAUCAACUUAUAAAUUGUAUCUUAA